GACGACGGCUGGCGGCGUGCCUAACACAUGCAAGUCGAGCGGGGACAAUGGCUUCGGUUAUUGUUCUAGCGGCGGACGGGUGAGUAACGCGUGAGCAACCUCUCUCUCAGUGGGGAAUAACACAGGGAAACUUGUACUAAUACCGCAUAGGACCACGACCCGGCAUCGGGUUGAGGUGAAAGCUUUAUGUGCUGAAAGAUGGUCUCGCGUCUGAUUAGCUAGUUGGUGAGGUAACGGCUCACCAAGGCGACGAUCAGUAGCCGGUCUGAGAGGAUGAACGGCCACAUUGGGACUGAGAUACGGCCCAGACUCCUACGGGAGGCAGCAGUGGGGAAUAUUGGGCAAUGGGGGAAACCCUGACCCAGCAACGCCGCGUGAAGGAAGAAGGCUUUCGGGUUGUAAACUUCUUUUACCAGGGAGGAAACAAAUGACGUUACCUGGAGAAAAAGCCACGGCUAACUACGUG
rnacentral:rRNA from 1 species